rnacentral:rRNA from 1 species
UGGGGAAUUUUGGACAAUGGGGGAAACCCUGAUCCAGCCAUCCCGCGUGUGCGAUGAAGGCCUUCGGGUUGUAAAGCACUUUUGGCAGGAAAGAAACGUCAUGGGUUAAUACCCCGUGAAACUGACGGUACCUGCAGAAUAAGCACCGGCUAACUACGUGCCAGCAGCCGCGGUAAUACGUAGGGUGCAAGCGUUAAUCGGAAUUACUGGGCGUAAAGCGUGCGCAGGCGGUUCGGAAAGAAAGAUGUGAAAUCCCAGAGCUCAACUUUGGAACUGCAUUUUUAACUACCGGGCUAGAGUGUGUCAGAGGGAGGCGGAAUUCCGCGUGUAGCAGUGAAAUGCGUAGAUAUGCGGAGGAACACCGAUGGCGAAGGCAGCCUCCUGGGAUAACACUGACGCUCAUGCACGAAAGCGUGGGGAGCAAACAGG